UUGAAUAGUUAUUGGCGUCUUUUCUAAUGUUUAGAUGAUUUUUUUGUCUUGAAUUUAAAUCAAAUUUCAGUUUUCAAUUUAUCAAAUAAAAAUGAAAGGAAUAAUUUUGAUAUAAGGUACCUUAUGUAAAUAUUCCUUUUAUGUAUCCGUCAAACAUAGUAGCUUCUUGUUCCUCAACUUGCUUGAUUCCUAUUCUUGUUUCUGCUCUAUGCAGCUACUUCUCUGAUCACCCUUUAGACCUGAUCGUCAUCAUCACCUGGACCCUGUGGUCACCAUUUGGCUCCAUCUUUACAUCUUAAUUCUAGUACCCCAUCUUCUGUGUGACAUCUUAUCCUUAGCUCUUAAGCUCUUACUUCCUAAUGCCAUUAUUACUGAAGUAACUAUUCCUUCCCUUUUUCCUAACUUACUACUUUCUUCCCAUUAAAUCUAGAUCCCCUUUUGUAUAACUUCAACUAUAUCCUCUUAUUAUGGCAUCUUCAGCUUCUUUCUUCAACUGUACAUUCAGCUCACUUUCCCUAUAAAUCUCCAACUUUUAUUCCAAAUAAAUGCCUUCAGUCCUAUAUCCAAGCUUAAUGCUGUUGGAGAAAUUAAAAAACUACUGGUUGUUACCACUAUUCCAAUUUCAGCCGAGCUUUCAUACUGAUCUGCUCUUUCAUCCCUUCCAGGCAUAAUUCUAGACUGUUAGCAUUUUCUUCAAGUACUACCCUUUUACCUUCCCAUUUAUCUUCAGUCCUUAUCACAGAACCUUCUUCCCUUAUUCCACCAGAAAAUGGAGGCUGUAGUUUAAAUACCCUCAUCUUUCAGCCCUGCCUACUGGCACAUCUUCAUCCAUCUUGUCUCCUGCUCUGACUUCAGAAAGAAUCAUCUUGCUUUUUUCCGAGGCUAAUCCAUUCAUCUGGCCUCUUUUCCCCUCCUCCCCUGCCCACAUCCUGCCCCCUUUCUGGAUCUUGUCCCAAAUUUUAUAUCCUUUCUCAUAUCUUCGAUUUUUCCCUCUCUGGUCAAUCUCUUUAAAUUGUUUCCCAUCUUAAGUUUAUUUACGAACAAUUGUAAGCACUCACUAUGUUCUGUUGACACUAUUCUGUGUACAUUAUAAAUGUUAACUCAUUUAAUCUUUGUAACAGCCCUGUGAGAAGGGUACUGUUAUCCUUAUUUUAUAGAUGAAGUAGCAGGCACUGAGAGGUCAGAUGUCUCCUUUGAGAUCACGCAAGUCAGUGGCAAAACCAGGUCUGGAAACCAGGCAGUUUGGGUUAGAGUUUGUACUUUUUUAUGUGUCUUUCUGCCUGAAACCUCCCAAAACCCAUCUUCUCCCUGCAGAAAAAAAAGAACUCACAUUUUUCUACAUUCUUCACCUCAUGCAUUCAGUCAGUCAGAACGUUUCCACCUGUGUAUGCCUCUUUCAUGUGUCUCUUUUUAUGAUCCUGGGUGACAUUGCCUAAUUCCAGAAUUCGUUUUCUUUUGUCUGGGCUAUUAAAAUGGCUUCCUGCCAUCAGUCUCAUCUCUUACAGUUGAUUGCCACUGAGGCAGUUUUUCUCAUGAAUGUGCCUUUUCCCCCCCCUCAAAAUAAUUAAGUAGUUCCUCGCUCUCUAAGUUGGAAGAUCCUUCUUCAUGUGACCCCGCCUCCUUUUUGAGCCGCAUCAUCAUCACUCUCCCCACAUGCCUCUCAGCCAUAGCAUACUCCUGGAGUCUCUUCAAACUUUUCUCUUUCGACUCAGUGUCCUUGCACUGCUCUUCUCUUUUGCUCGUUGGCCCGGCCCUUAUCUUGCUCCCAAAUUCAUUUCUAUUUCAUCAAAUAUCCCUCAGUUCCAGCACUAAUUUUCUGGUGAGGCCCUCUAAAGCUCCUAAAGCAUAUUCAAGUGUUCUUUACUCCAUUUCUUUUUAUACCUCACAGACCACCUGAGUUCUGGCUUGUUUUAUUUUGCUUGGAAAAUUUCUCUAUCAUUUAAAUUUAUAAACUAUUUGAGUCAGAGAUUGUAACAAUUCAUAUUUGUAAUCCUAUUGUCUGACAUAAUUCCUGGCACGUGAAUAUAGUCUGCCCUCCCCUCCCGAGACAUCAAACAAUAUAAUUCACAUAUUUCUUAUGUUUUUCAAAGUUUUAUAUGUAUUUUCUCAUUGUAUCUCCUAACUCGGAGGAGAUAAGACUAGUGAUACUGUCUUCUUAUAGAGAAGGAAACUAAUGCUUGGGAACAUUGAGUACUUUAUGCAGAGAGACAGAGCUGAGGUUUUGGAAUGGCCAAGAAAAACUCAGUUUUCUGACUCAAGCGUCAUACUGUGUGGGGAAGCCCUUCGUAAACGAAAAUGCCAUAAUAAUAUGUAUGCCAUAGUAUGAUAAUUGUUCUUUGUCCCCCACUCAAGCUAUAAUUUCUGGAUUUGGAUUUACUUCACUUAUUAAGAAUUAUUUCUCUAAGAUCUUUAAGCAAUUGAGUUAAGUUCUAUAACAUCGUUAUUGUAAUGGCCUACUAUGAUCCUUAAUUCAGCAUAGUACUCUAUUAUUACAAGUUUACUUAAUAAGAACUUACUGUAUGUGUCCAUUAUACUAUACUUGUGGAACCUAAAAGAAGUAUAAAACUAUUUUCAAGCAACUUUUGAUUUCUUUGAAGAGAUAAGACUUUUACAUGAAAACAGUUAGUGAAUAAGAAAAAAUGGCAUCUCAUGCUAAUUUCUGAUCAGAAUAUUAUGUGAUCAUUUAAAGAGGCAUAUAGAGAAAAGUAGAAUGUAGAAUCAUGAAAUUGUCAGAAAAAGAUCUGCUAAAUUUGAAUGGCUUUGGCUGUCCAAGGGAAUUUUUAUUGUUUUGGACAACCUACGACAAGUUUGACUAUAAAUAUUGCUUAUAAGUACUACGACAUGUGAUUUAUCAUCCAAACAACAUUUUUGUCAGUGAAGGAAGGGCUUUUAAGAAUUUCACUGGUACAACAAGAAAAAAGUGGGGUGAAUGUUCCCCAUACUUAAAAGGAAUUUUAAUCAAAAUAAGAAGAUUUAGGAGAGGAUCAUGUCAAUCUCUUCCUCUAUAUUUUCUAUUUUAAGUUGCGUGUCUUUAUAGUAAAAGUAUAAUCUUUGGCUAUAUACUUCAAUAUACUUAAAUCUAAAGUAAGCAUAUUUGAAUGUGAAAAUGGUUUAAGUAGAGCUGACAUACUUUGAUCGCAUCAGCCUCUUUUUAUUCCAUUCUAGAUUCAAAAUAUUAGCUUUUUGAAUGUAAUAUGGUGACAUAUCACAAUUUACCUCAUCUCAAAAUGCAAAAAGCCUCCAAAGAGGAUUUGCUACUAGGGUACUUUUCCCUCAGUGGCAGACCCUGGAGUCUUUCAACUUGGGGGAGUUCACAACUUGGUUUGAGUGAGACUAUGCUGCUAAGAGCAUGGCUACCUUAUAGAAGGGAAAAAUGAUUUAUAUCUCAAAACAACAACACACUUGUUGACAAUUUAAAAACAUUUAAAUGUGGCAUUACUUAAUUGUAAAGUUUAAUGUUAGUGAAAUGUGAUCAAAGUUUAAUGUUAGUGAAAUGUGAUCUCUAAUCCUAUGUGAUGCCUGUCAGCAGGCUAAUGAAGGCCUACCUAUCAGGACCAUCGCAAGUCUGGCUUCAUUUAACAUCAAGUUUUCAUUAAGGUGUUUGGUUUUCAAGCAGGUUAAAAGAGUUUCAUUCAAUGCUGCAUGUUAAAACUAGGGUUACACUGACAUGAUCUGUAUCUAUUUAUAGUCCUUAUUUUGGAAUGUAUAUCCUUUUUAUAUGAUAUUAUGAUUUAGGAUAUUAUGCUUAUCUUUUUCAAAAUAUCAGUAAGUGGAAUAAUAUAUAACCACCCUAUUAACCAUCCUUUUGAGUAUUCAUAAAAUGAGUUCAUAACCAAAACAUCUCUCCCACCCUGGUCCAAGUACAGGCAAAGUACAUUGCAUUGGAGGAAUAAACACCUUAUUAAGGAACAGGCCUCACAGAGUAAAAUUCUGUACUGUGACAGAAUUGUACUAUGGUGUUAAAUGGCAUCCCUAUUGAAUUAGGUGUAAAUAUACCCAAAUGAGAAAAAAGAAAAAAAGAUUACUAGGUAUUAAAUUCAGGCAGAGUAGAUGUGAAGUUCAGAUCAGCUACCUGCUCAUAUUCGUCAGUUACUCGUGCUUUGUUUGCUUUGUGGUAUAUUUAUUUUUGCCUUUAUUCCUUCAUUUAUUCGUUCACGUUAUUAAAUACUUAAUAGGUAAUCAGUGCAGUGUAUAAAACAGCAGUCCGGGAACCUUCAUGUCAUCAAAUAAUCCCACUGUAUUUUGUUUCAGCCUGAGCCCAAUUUUAGUUGUGACCAAGUUACUCUGAUUAUAAGAUCUGGUCUAUCUUAAUUCCCUUUGAGGACCAUUAUACUGUUCUUUCUUUGUUAAACUGCCAGUUAGUGUGGCUGUUUAUUAUCACACCAGUGACUCAUUGCUUUCUUACAGUGAUUUCACUAGUAGAUAGCAGUCCCUAUGAACAGACUGUUACUCAAGAUUAUUAAAAUCCUUUGUAAAGUUA